rnacentral:rRNA from 1 species
AUGGCUGUCGUCAGCUCGUGUCGUGAGAUGUUGGGUUAAGUCCCGCAACGAGCGCAACCCUUAAGCUUAGUUGCCAUCAUUAAGUUGGGCACUCUAAGUUGACUGCCGGUGACAAACCGGAGGAAGGUGGGGAUGACGUCAAAUCAUCAUGCCCCUUAUGAUUUGGGCUACACACGUGCUACAAUGGACAAUACAAAGGGCAGCUAAACCGCGAGGUCAAGCAAAUCCCAUAAAGUUGUUCUCAGUUCGGAUUGUAGUCUGCAACUCGACUACAUGAAGCUGGAAUCGCUAGUAAUCGUAGAUCAGCAUGCUACGGUGAAUACGUUCCCG